AGUUGACGUCAAAAUAUGAUUUAAAGUCUCCCGUUUGUCCCCUGCCGUAUAAAUAUUAAAUUAGAAGGUUUUUAAUGUCAAUUUUCAUCUAAAUUUACUUCGUUCCUAACUUACGUCAUGUAAGGGUUUAUCACGAUUCUUCUUUUCAUGCUCCAGAAACGCAUGAAGACCAUGUUGUUUAUAAAUUUUCUCGGAUUCAUUAGAAAAUAAUACGGCAUCAAGAUCAAACGCCACGCGAAGUUGAGUCUCACUUGGUGGGUUUGUCACCUGGGUUGACAUCACUGCUGAUGGGAAACCU